AUAUAAGAAUUUAGUCUUGAUUGAACCAAUUCAUAGUAAACUAUUGAAUAAAUAUUCAAAAGAAAUUGGGUUCUUACUGCGAACUUUCAACUG
ensembl:ncRNA F40H3.13 ncRNA